rnacentral:rRNA from 1 species
UAAAGAGCUCGUAGGCGGUUUGUCACGUCUGCUGUGAAAAUCCAAGGAUAAACCAUGGACUUGCAGUGGGUACGGGCAGGCUAGAGUGCGGUAGGGGAGAUGGGAAUUCCUGGUGUAGCGGUGGAAUGCGCAGAUAUCAGGAGGAACACCAAUGGCGAAGGCACAUCUCUGGGCCGUAACUGACGCUGAGGAGCGAAAGCGUGGGGAGCGAACAGGAUUAGAUACCCUGGUAGUCCACGCCGUAAACGGUGGGUGCUAGCUGUGGGCCACAUUCCACGUGGUCCGUGACGAAGUUAACACAUUAAGCACCCCGCCUGGGGAGUACGGCCGCAAGGCUAAAACUCAAAGGAAUUGACGGGGGCCCGCACAAGCGGCGGAGCAUGCGGAUUAAUUCGAUGCAACGCGAAGAACCUUACCAAGGCUUGACAUAUAGAGGAAAAGUGCAGAAAUGCACUCCCCGCAAGGUCUCUAUACAGGUGGUGCAUGGUUGUCGUCAGCUCGUGUCGUGAGAUGUUGGGUUAAGUCCCGCAACGAGCGCAACCCUCGUCCUAUGUUGCCAGCACGUUAUGGUGGGAACUCAUGGGAUACUGCCGGGGUCAACUCGGAGGAAGGUGGGGAUGACGUCAAAUCAUCAUGCCCCUUAUGUCUUGGGCUUCACGCAUGCUACAAUGGCCGGUACAGAGGGCUGCAAUACCGCAAGGUGGAGCGAAUCCCAAAAAGCCGGUCUCAGUUCGGAUUGAGGUCUGCAACUCGACCUCAUGAAGUCGGAGUCGCUAGUAAUCGUAGAUCAGCAACGCUACGGUGAAUACGUUCCCGGGCCUUGUACACACCG